ensembl:lncRNA
GGAGUGGGAGUGGUGUCAAUGCAGAGGGGUGGAGCAGGUCAUUAAAGGACUGGGAGAGCUCAAAACAAGCUCAUACAGAGACAGGCAGUUGGAGCAUAAUACAAUGAAGAUGAAGGCUCUGGUUUCACUGUUGUUGACAGUGAAUGUGGCCCUGGGUGUACCACAUGGGUUAAUGGAUGAAUGGGUCGCAGCACCAAAACCAGUUCUGCCACUUGACAGUCAAGGCACAGUGGGACAGGGAAAACCAGCUGGCUGGAACCCGGAGACAAUUGUGGAGAGAAUCCCAUUGACACCUGCUGACCUGAGCCCACUGGUGAAGGACAAACCAGAGGAACUGAGCCCUAAAUUGCAGGACAAACCAGAGGAACCGAGACCUAAAUUGCAGGACAGACCAGAGGAACUAAAGCCACUGGUGAAGGACAAACCAGAGGAACUGAGCCCUAAAGUGCAGGACAAAAAAGAAGUGCAGAGACCAGUGGAGCAGAAGAACGAAAAUCCAGCUGAAUGGACGCUUGUGAUCCAGGAUAAACCAAAGAACCAAGGGGAGAUGGAUAAACCAAAGCAAGCCAAGGAGGAUUCUGGGAAACUGAGCCCUGUUGUGCAUGAGACAGCAGAGGGAGUAGUGGCACCUGUGAUGGAGGCGUUUGUGGGGGAGGUGUCUCUGCCUGAGCAGGAGUCAGAGGCUGAGAUGGAGGAGGAUCUACUGAGGAUUGGCAUGGAAGAUUCUGAUAUUGGGAAACCAGAGAUGAGGAAUAUACCAGAGCCAAAGAUGGGAUUGGAAUUGGAAGAGCCAGAGAUUAGGGAACCAGACCAGAUGGAACGAAGUUUAGAAAUGGACCCAGAAGUGAAGCUAGACCCAGAGGUUGAGAUGGCAUCAGAGAUGAAGAUGGCGUCAGAGAUGAAGAUGGCGUCAGAGAUGAAGAUGGCGUCAGAGCUGGGGAUGGAGUCAGAGCAGGAGAUGGAGUCAGAGCUGGAGAUGGAGUCAGAGCAGGAGAUGGAGUCAGAGCUGGAGAUGGAGUCAGAGCUGGAGAUGGAGUCAGAGCAGGAGAUGGAGUCAGAGCUGGAGAUGGAGUCAGAGCUGGAGAUGGAGUCAGAGCAGGAGAUGGAGUCAGAGCUGGAGAUGGAGUCAGAGCUGGAGAUGGAGUCAGAGAUGAAGAAGGCACGUGGUCUAGGUGGUCUAGGUGAAGAACAGAUUUACAUCCCAGAGGAACAACCAAUCAUGGAGCUGGAACCAGAAACAAGGGAUUUGCCUUCGGGAGGGAAUACAAUCAUGAAAGAUUACAACAUCAUGGGGGAGGAGCCAAUGGAAAACAUGCCUGUGAUGAGGGCGGAUCACGUCCAGUCUGAGGAACCAAUCGUGGAGCUGGAACCAAAACUGAGGGAGGCGCCUUUGACUGGACAUCACCCAAGGAUGGACUUGGCUGUGGUGGCAGAAGAUCCAGUUCUGGAGUUGGAACCUUUAGAAUGGGAGACGCCUCGUAGUGAAGAGCAAUUACUAUUGGAGGAGAGGGUUCGAUUUAUUCAGAGGCCUCUCAUGGAGCAGCCAAUGAUGGGUGAGGGGCCCAUGAUGGAUGGAGCAUCAUACAUGAGAGUGGAGCAAGAGAGGAUGAUGCAGUCUUUAAAUAUGGAGGAAGAGGGGUUCUAGCAACCUGAUAAUGUAUUAACUAACAAUAAUGUAAUAACUAGUAAUAAUGUAAUAAUAAUAACUUGGGAGGGCUGUAAUAAAAAUGAUAAUAUAUAAUGGUAAACAUUUGCACCUAAUGUAAUAAUUUACUGCAGUAUUGACUGAUUAUUACAUUAUUUAAUGGGUAAAAAAUAAGAACUGAUAAAGCAACAAUGUACUCAGACUGUAUUUACCUUGUUUAUUAAUUGGCUAUGAAGAAUCCCACUUCCAAAACACUUACCCUUACUCUAGGUUUAUUUAUCAAGCAGCUGCCACAUACACACACAUACUAGAGAGAGACAAAGAGAGAGAAGAAAUGUGGACAAUUUACUGUGUUGUUUCACUCCAAUUUGCUUGUGAGACAGGAAUAUGGUCACAUUUGGUUCAUAUUAAAGCGUGAUCUGACUAGUCUAGCUAGACUCUUUCAAGUUCAAGUUUUAUUUGUCAAAUGCACCAUCUCAUCCUGCACAAUGAAAUUGUUGUGACAUGGCACCCAACAACUACGUAAUGAGAAUUAAGUUAAUAAAUAUACAUAAAUAUAAAUAACACUGAACACUAGCAGCAGUUUGAAAAGAGGACUAGCAGCAAUAUGUUUCAUAUUAAGUCUCGUAUUAAAAACGUAAUGGGGUUUUAAAGGCUUAGUAGAUGUUUCAUCAUUAUACUGACUUGUAUACCUCAAAGACCACUUCAAACUCUGUAACUAUUAAUGCAUUUUUAGAUAAAUGUGAACUUUCCAGACUAAGUGCGGAAGAUGGUGAUUCCUUGAACUCUGACCUCACAAUUGCAGAGGUUCGGAGCGCCAUUGCCUCCCUAAAGAGUAAUAAGUCCUGAUGGACUUCCAGGGGAAUUAUACAAAACAUUCAGUGAGAAUUCAUCCCCGUACCUGUUGAAAUUAUAUGAACAUGCUAAGAUACAGGGUAAUUUGCCCCCCACCUUAACUGAGGCUGUGGUCACAUUAAUUCACAAAAAAGGGAAGGACUCACAGGAAGUAGGUGCUUAUCGUCCUAUCUCCCUACUUAAUGUUGAUGGGAAAUUAUUUGCCAAAAUAUUAGCUAACAGGCUGAAUCCUUUAUUGGGAAAGCUAGUUCAUAAGGACCAGACGGGUUUCAUACCAAAUAGGAGUGCUACUUUUAAUCUUAGACAUCUUUUCAAUAUUAAAUAUACAAAGAGAGGUCCACCCACUGAUCUUGUCAUACUUGCAUUUGACCAGAUUGAGUGGUGUUACUUAUUUGAAGUUCUUAAUAGGUUAAAUUUUGGAAAUAAGUUCCUGUCAUUAAUCAAACUCAUUUACAAGAAUCCUACAGCUCAAAUCCCAACAAACCGGACAAUAUCCUCUCCGUUCAGCUUACAUAGAGGGACAAGGCAGGGGUGUCCACUAUCCCUUGGCUAUUGAACCUCUAGCCCAAUGUAUUAGAAUGGAAGCCCAGAUUUAUGGCUACUCCACCAAAGACACUAAUAAUAAGAUAUCAAUAUACGCAGAUGACAUAUAUAACGAGGCCUCAACUUACCAUCCCUAAUCUUCUCGAUGAAAUCAACCUGUUUGGGACCUUUUUGUGUUAUCGGAUCGAUUUGUCUAAGAGCGUUUUAAUGCCGGUCCAAAUGAGUGACUUAACACACCUAGAUCACUUUCCAUUUACAGUCUCUCCAGAGAAAUUGACCUAUUUGGGGAUAGAAGUGACAAAACAGUACUCAUCUCUAUUCCAGGCAAACUUCCCCCCUCUAAUAGAGUGAUUACAGACUAGAAUAUUAUUCUGGGACACGCUCCCAAUUUCUUUAAUUGGGAGAAUCAAUGCUAUAAAGAUGAUUUUCCUCACACAAUUGUUAUACCUAUUUCAGAACAUCCCAAUGUUUCUAAAAAUAUAUUUUUUUAAAACCUAGAUUCUUUAAUAGUUCCUUUUCUGUGGGGACACAAAGUUCACAGAAUAGGUAAAAAACAUCUCUGUAGGCCAAAGCCAGAGGGGGGAUUGGCACUACCAGACUUUUUGCUAUAUUACUGGGCCUCAGCGAUUAAGAUUUUUAUUUGUAUUUAUUAUUGUACUUUUAUUUUAUUUUUUAUUUUGAAUUAGUUAUAAAAUAAGCUCUCAGAAUGUACAAGUGAAUUGUAUGUCAAAUCAUAUGCUUUAAUAAAAAGACAUAAAAAAAAAAAAAAAGAGAGAACAUGACCCAACUUCACCCCUAAGGUGAGAGGAGGAAUUGAGGGAGAGGGGGGUUCCACACAAACACACAACAUCCCAUAAUACCACACAUACACACACAAACACACAACAUCCUAUAUUACCACACAUACACACACAGACACACAACAUCCCAUAUUACCACACAUACACACACAAACACACAACAUCCUAUAUUACCACACAUACACACACAGACACACAACAUCCCAUAUUACCACACAUACACACACAAACACACAACAUCCCAUAUUACCACACAUAUUACCACACAUACACACACAGACACACAACAUCCCAUAUUACCACACAUACACACACAGACACACAACAUCCCAUAUUACCACACAUUCACACACAGACACACAACAUCCUAUAUUACCACACAUACACACACAGACACACAACAUCCUAUAUUACCACACAUACACACACAUACACACAACAUCCCAUAUUACCACACAUACACACACAUACACACACACACACAGACACACAACAUCCCAUAUUACCACACAUACACACACAGACACACAACAUCCUAUAUUACCACACAUACACACACAGACACACAACAUCCUAUAUUACCACACAUACACACACAGACACACAACAUCCUAUAUUACCACACAUACACACACAUACACACAACAUCCCAUAUUACCACACAUACACACACAUACACACACACACAGACACACAACAUCCCAUAUUACCACACAUACACACAGACACAACCACACGUGUACAUGUAGAAUGAUUGCAAUAACUGCUUUCUACCACAAGGAGACUCACUUGCAAAGUCCUGAACUGCCAGUGCUAAAUUCUCUUCAGAAGUCCAAGGAAGGGUUGGCGCAGAUUAAGCUGAGUUCUCUGAUCCGCC